GACAGCUUCCUCAGGAGAUGACGUUGUGUCGAAUAGGACUGCUUCUUCAAUGACAGACGUCUCAGUAACCGUGGGAUCCGUGGAUUCUGGCAAGUCAUUGGAAACCUCAGUAGUAUGGUCCUCAUCAUCAUCUUCAGCUAGCUCAGGCCCCCUCAAGUGCAUCGGUUGUAUGCAGCGUAAAUGUGCAAAAGUCCUGCAAAAACUCUGGCUGUGCAAAAGGACAAAAGACUGCUUGAGUCUGUCAACGGCAGCAAAAAGUAUCCAUGGAAAAGGUACAUUUGCUCACCCUCCUGCUGACUUCCCACCAUCGAUCAUCAGGAUCAAGAACACAAAACCACAGCGUGAUGGCAAAGUGUGGGUUAAGUGUGGAGUUCAGUCCUGAGGCUCUUAUUGUGUGCUGGCAAUAUCUCUCAAUGGAGUCUACACCACAGUUUGAUUAAUCAAUAAAUCUCUGAAGUGAC